CAAGCCUUCCAGCGUGGGGGGGCCUGGCGUGGCCCCCCCCAUUCCUACAGCGCUUGCCAGAGCGACCCCGGGACGGUUUGAGGCCUCUCCCCGCCUUCCCCCGGGGGGAGGUUAUAGAUAUCCCGGACACCCCCCACAGCCGAGGAACGGGGGGAGCCCCGUGGCGGUGCCGGCUACCGCCUCCUCCGGGGCCGCUGAUGUCGGUUUUCUCUCUCUGGUUGCAGGGGGCGCCGCCCAGAGGCCGCCGGGAGCGAAGAGGUGGGUCCGACGGGCCUGUCCCGCGUAGGGGGGAUUUGCUCCAUGCCCUCUCCUGUCCCUGUAAUUAGCCUAAUUCAGUUUAAUUAGCUCUGCUAGACCUCCGCGGCCACCAAACGAGAGUCUCUGGGAGCCAAAAUCCCACCGGAGAGGUGCUGUGGCCGCCUCGUUUUUCCUAGGAUACCAUUUCUGAUAAGUGGCCACCUCAUUUUUCUUAGGAUGCCAUUUCGGACAGAUGGCCACCUCAUUUUUCCUAGGAUGCUACUUCCAGCAGGGGUGGCCACCCCAUUUUUCGGGGACUGGCUGGCUCUCGGGGUCUGUCUCUGAGUCACAAGCUCGGCAGAAUUUCCCCCCUCGUGGCCCAGGGCCGAACUCACAGCCUGAUCCUACUCCACCCUUGGUGGGUUUAUUUGGCAACCGCCGCUGGCUCAGAGGUUGCCCCCCUGCAAGCCUUCCAGCGUGGGGGGGCCUGGCGUGGCCCCCGCCAUUCCUACAGCGCUUGCCAGAGCGACCCCGGGACGGUUUGAGGCCUCUCCCCGCCUUCCCCCGGGGGGAGGUUAUAGAUAUCCCGGACACCCCCCACAGCCGAGGAACGGGGGGAGCCCCGUGGCGGUGCCGGCUACCGCCUCCUCCGGGGCCGCUGAUGUCGGUUUUCUCUCUCUGGUUGCAGGGGGCGCCGCCCAGAGGCCGCCGGGAGCGAAGAGGUGAAAAUCUGGUAAAAAAACACCCACUUCUAGGAAAAACGGGAUAGCAACCCUGUGGAAUGGCACACCAUGCUGGCUGGCUGGACAUCGGCACAUGGGGGUCCUCUCUCUGCUGAUCAACACCUCAGGUUGUCCUUCCCUGAGCUCCCAGUUGCUGGUUGAACGGGGGAUACUGGGAUGAUGAUGGGCGAUGGUGCUAUCUUAAUAAAAAAGGGAUUUCCCAGCGG